UCGAACGGGAGUUUAUUUAUAGCAAUAUGAGUGAAUUCUAGUGGCGAAAGGGUGCGUAACACGUAGCUCACCUACCUCAAUGUGGGGGAUAGCUCGGCGAAAGCCGGAUUAAUACCGCAUGUGGUCGAGAGACUAAAGCUGGGGAUCGUAAGACCUGGCGCAAUGAGAUGGGGCUGCGGCCUAUCAGGUAGUUGGCGGGGUAAUGGCCCACCAAGCCUAAGACGGGUAGCUGGUCUGAGAGGACGACCAGCCACACUGGAACUGAGACACGGUCCAGACACCUACGGGUGGCAGCAGUCGAGGAUUUUUCUCAAUGGGGGAAACCCUGAAGGAGCGACGCCGCGUGGGGGAUGAAGGUCUUCGGAUUGUAAACCCCUGUCAUGCGGGAUCAAAGCUUACGACUUAAUACGUCGUAAGUUGAUAGUACUGCAAGAGGAAGCAGUGGCUAACUCUGUGCCAGCAGCCGCGGUAAUACAGAGACUGCAAGCGUUGUUCGGAUUCAUUGGGCGUAAAGGGUCCGCAGGCGGUUCGGCAAGUCGGGUGUGAAAUCCCGUAGCUUAACUACGGAAAGUCAUUCGAAACUGCCGAGCUAGAGGACUGGAGAGGAGACUGGAAUGGUCGGUGUAGCGGUGAAAUGCGUAGAGAUCGACCAGAACACCAGUAGCGAAGGCGAGUCUCUGGACAGUUCCUGACGCUCAUGGACGAAAGCCAGGGGAGCAAACGGGAUUAGAUACCCCGGUAGUCCUGGCCCUAAACGGUGCUUACUUGGUGUGGGGGGGGAUUCGACCCCCUCCGUGCCGUAGCUAACGCGUUAAGUAAGCCGCCUGGGAAGUACGGUCGCAAGAUUAAAACUCAAAGAAAUU
rnacentral:rRNA from 1 species